AUUGAACGCUGGCGGCAGGCCUAACACAUGCAAGUCGAGCGGAUGAGUGGAGCUUGCUCCAUGAUUCAGCGGCGGACGGGUGAGUAAUGCCUAGGAAUCUGCCUGGUAGUGGGGGACAACGUUUCGAAAGGAACGCUAAUACCGCAUACGUCCUACGGGAGAAAGCAGGGGACCUUCGGGCCUUGCGCUAUCAGAUGAGCCUAGGUCGGAUUAGCUAGUAGGUGAGGUAAUGGCUCACCUAGGCGACGAUCCGUAACUGGUCUGAGAGGAUGAUCAGUCACACCGGAACUGAGACACGGUCCAGACUCCUACGGGAGGCAGCAGUGGGGAAUAUUGGACAAUGGGCGAAAGCCUGAUCCAGCCAUGCCGCGUGUGUGAAGAAGGUCUUCGGAUUGUAAAGCACUUUAAGUUGGGAGGAAGGGCAGUAAGUUAAUACCUUGCUGUUUUGACGUUACCAACAGAAUAAGCACCGGCUAACUUCGUGCCAGCCGCCGCGGUAACAC
rnacentral:rRNA from 1 species